rnacentral:rRNA from 1 species
AACGAACGCUGGCGGCAUGCCUAACACAUGCAAGUCGAACGAGACCUUCGGGCCUAGUGGCGCACGGGUGCGUAACGCGUGGGAACCUGCCCUUAGGUUCGGACUAACUCCCCGAAAUGGGUGCUAAUACCGGAUAAUGUCUUCGGACCAAAGAUUUAUCGCCUUUGGUUGGGCCCGCGUUGUAUUAGCUAGUUGGUAGGGUAAAAGCCUACCACGGCGAGGAUCCAUAGCUGGUUUGAGAGGCUGAUCAGCCACACUGGGACUGAGACACGGCCCAGACUCCUACGGGAGGAAGGAGAGGGGGAUAUUGGAGAGUGGGCUAAAGGCUGAGCCAGCACGGCCGGGAGAGUGAUGAAGGCCUUGGGGUUGUAAAGCGCUUUUACCCGGGAUGAUAAUGACGGUACCGGGAGAAUAAGCUCCGGCUAACUCCGUG